UGUUGCUAAGAGAUGAGUGUGUUUACUGGUAACCAAGUGCCACGAAGUGAACAUCAGAUUUUUACUUUUGCAAAAUUUGCCAACGGUAAAUGUCUUGUAUCUAAUCAGGUGGACUCUUUCAUCCUCUGAGCUUGAGUCCUCUACCAGAAGCCUGGGAGCUGCAGAAUCUUAGCUGUGCCUAGAACUGCAUAUUUCCGGACUGAGAUGUCUGAUGCUGUUCCUGGGAUCGUGUGGUCCCUGCGCUCCUCGGCCCUGUAGACGCAGAGCGAAUUCUAGCAACCUGCGGCCUCUUUCCAGGAGUACCGGGCGCCAGCUGAUGGUGUAGACCCUCCGAUUUCUACCAGGAUCGGUUUGGUAAAUGCCAGGUCGCUGACAAAUAAAACUUUGGUCAUUAGGGAUUUCUUUUCCUCUCAUUGAUUGGAUGUUUUAUUUAUAACAGAAUCAUUGACAAGUGGUUUGGGUGACUCCAGCAUUUUUAAUCAACUUGUACCGCUGAACUGCGGCUAUUUUAAUGCUCCAAGGAUGUUGGGGUCCGGUGGACGUAUAGUGACUGUUUUUAAAAGUUGUUUUACUUGUAGACAGUAGCCUCUGGCCUCGUUUAGUAGCUUUGAGUUUAGCCUAUUUGAACUCAGCAGCUCUCACACUGUGCUGUGUGCGGCGGUCUAUCGGCCACCAAAGUACAACAAAAACUUUAUAAAUGACUUUUCUGA